GCCGGCCGGCAGGGUCAUGUGUGCGCGCGGUGACAGAAGAGAGUGAGCACACGGCCGGGCGGGACGGCACCCGGCGGAUUGGUGCCGUCGCGGCCGCGUGCUCACUGCUCUGUCUGUCACCUUUGCCCAGAAGGCCGCCUCUUCACGGACA